CAUGCAAGUCGAACGCUCGUAGCAAUACGAGAGUGGCAGACGGGUGAGUAACACGUGGGAACCUUCCCUAUGGUUCGGAAUAGCCCAGGGAAACUUGGGGUAAUACCGGAUAAGCCCUUCGGGGGAAAGAUUUAUCGCCAUUGGAUGGGCCCGCGUCGGAUUAGCUAGUUGGUGGGGUAACGGCCUGCCAAGGCGACGAUCCGUAGCUGGUCUGAGAGGAUGAUCAGCCACACUGGGACUGAGACACGGCCCAGACUCCUACGGGAGGCAGCAGUGGGGAAUAUUGGACAAUGGGCGCAAGCCUGAUCCAGCCAUGCCGCGUGAGUGACGAAGGUCUUCGGAUUGUAAAGCUCUUUUGGCGGGGACGAUAAUGACGGUACCCGCAGAAUAAGCCCCGGCUAACUUCGUGCCAGCAGCCGCGGUAAUACGAAGGGGGCUAGCGUUGUUCGGAAUCACUGGGCGUAAAGCGCACGUAGGCGGAUGUGCCAGUCAGGGGUGAAAUCCCGGAGCUCAACUCCGGAACUGCCUCUGAUACAGCACAUCUNGAGUCCGGAAGAGGUGGGUGGAAUUCCUAGUGUAGAGGUGAAAUUCGUAGAUAUUAGGAAGAACACCGGUGGCGAAAGCGGCCCACUGGUCCGGUACUGACGCUGA
rnacentral:rRNA from 1 species